GCUCCCAACUCGACCCCAGGUCAGGCGGGACUACCCGCUGAGUU
rnacentral:rRNA from 1 species